GCGAUGAGAAUUGCUACGUAUAGCAUUGGCUGUGUGAAGAAAUUACGGCCAGUGCUCGUGUGACAAUUCUCAUUACU
rfam:Nicotiana sylvestris Nsyl_contig98194, whole genome shotgun sequence.